UACAGAGGCCUCAAGCGUUGUUCGGAUUCAUUGGGCGUAAAGGGAGCGUAGGCGGUCGGGUAAGUCGGAUGUGAAAUCCUGGGGCUCAACCUCAGAACUGCAUUCGAUACUGCUUGGCUAGAGGAUUGGAGAGGAGAGUGGAAUUCACGGUGUAGCAGUGAAAUGCGUAGAGAUCGUGAGGAAGACCAACGGCGAAGGCAAGCUCUCUGG
rnacentral:rRNA from 1 species